GACGAACGCUGGCGGCGUGCCUAAUACAUGCAAGUCGAACGAGUGGCGGACGGGUGAGUAAUGUCUGGGAAACUGCCCGAUGGAGGGGGAUCACUACUGGCAACGGUAGCUAAUACCGCAUACCAUCGGAUGUGCCCCGAUGGGAUUAGCUAGUAGGUGGGGUAACGGCGCACCUAGGCGACGGUCCCUAGCUGGUCUGGGAGGAUGACCAGGCACACUGGAACUGAGCAACGGGCCAGAGUCCGACGGGAGGCAGCAGUGGGGAAUAGUGCACGAUGGGCGCAAGACUGAUGCAGCCAUGCCGCGUGUAGGAAGAGGGGCUUCGGGUUGUAAAGUACUUGUAGCGAGGAGGCGUUACUCGCAGAAGAAGCACCGGCUAACUCCGUGCCAGCAGCCGCGGUAAUUC
rnacentral:rRNA from 1 species